rnacentral:rRNA from 1 species
GAUGAGCGCUGGCGGCGUGCUUAACACAUGCAAGUCGAACGGUGAAGGCGGAGCUUGCUCUGCUGGAUCAGUGGCGAACGGGUGAGUAACACGUGAGCAAUCUGCCCCUGACUCUGGGAUAAGCGCUGGAAACGGCGUCUAAUACUGGAUACGAGCUGCGAAGGCAUCUUCAGCAGCUGGAAAGAACUUCGGUCAGGGAUGAGCUCGCGGCCUAUCAGCUUGUUGGUGAGGUAACGGCUCACCAAGGCGUCGACGGGUAGCCGGCCUGAGAGGGUGACCGGCCACACUGGGACUGAGACACGGCCCAGACUCCUACGGGAGGCAGCAGUGGGGAAUAUUGCACAAUGGGCGAAAGCCUGAUGCAGCAACGCCGCGUGAGGGACGACGGCCUUCGGGUUGUAAACCUCUUUUAGCAGGGAAGAAGCGAAAGUGACGGUACCUGCAGAAAAAGCGCCGGCUAACUACGUG